GCCGCUGUAGCUCAACUGGUAGAGCAUCUGACUUGUAAUCAGAGGGUUGGGGGUUCAAGUCCUCUCGGCGGCACCA
rnacentral:tRNA from 1 species